GGACGAACGCUGGCGGCGUGCCUACUACAUGCAAGUCGAACGAGAGCGACCGGUGCUUGCACUGGUCAAUCUAGUGGCGAACGGGUGAGUAACACGUGGGUAACCUGCUCAUCAGAGGGGGAUAACAUCCGGAAACGGAUGCUAAAACCGCAUAGGUCUUCGAGCCGCAUGGCUUGAAGAGGAAAAGAGGCGCAAGCUUCUGCUGAUGGAUGGACCCGCGGUGCAUUAGCUAGUUGGUGAGGUAACGGCUCACCAAGGCCGUGAUGCAUAGCCGACCUGAGAGGGUGAUCGGCCACAUUGGGACUGAGACACGGCCCAAACUCCUACGGGAGGCAGCAGUAGGGAAUCUUCCGCAAUGGACGCAAGUCUGACGGAGCAACGCCGCGUGAGUGAAGAAGGUUUUCGGAUCGUAAAACUCUGUUGUUAGAGAAGAACAAGUGCUAGAGUAACUGUUAGCGCCUUGACGGUAUCUAACCAGAAAGCCACGGCUAACUACGUG
rnacentral:rRNA from 1 species